rnacentral:rRNA from 1 species
AUACGUAGGUGGCAAGCGUUAUCCGGAUUUACUGGGUGUAAAGGGCGUGUAGGCGGGACUGCAAGUCAGAUGUGAAAUUCCAGGGCUCAACCCUGGACCUGCAUUUGAAACUGUGGUUCUUGAGUGAUGGAGAGGCAGGCGGAAUUCCCUGUGUAGCGGUGAAAUGCGUAGAUAUAGGGAGGAACACCAGUGGCGAAGGCGGCCUGCUGGACAUUAACUGACGCUGAGGCGCGAAAGCGUGGGGAGCAAACAGGAUUAGAUACCCUGGUAGUCCACGCUGUAAACGAUGGAUACUAGGUGUGGGGGGACUGACCCCUUCCGUGCCGCAGUUAACACAAUAAGUAUCCCACCUGGGGAGUACGAUCGCAAGGUUGA